AUGCGGACGUGUCGGAUAUUGGGCGUAAGGGCUCGCAGGCGGUUUCUUAAGUCUGAUGUGAAAGCCCCCGGCUCAACCGGGGAGGGUCAUUGGAAACUGGGGAACUUGAGUGCAGAAGAGGAGAGUGGAAUUCCACGUGUAGCGGUGAAAUGCGUAUAGAUGUGGAGGAACACCAGUGGCGAAGGCGACUCUCUGGUCUGUAACUGACGCUGAGGAGCGAAAGCGUGGGGAGCGAACAGGAUUAGAUACCCUGGUAGUCCACGCCGUAAACGAUGAGUGCUAAGUGUUAGGGGGUUUCCGCCCCUUAGUGCUGCAGCUAACGCAUUAAGCACUCCGCCUGGGGAGUACGGUCGCAAGACUGAAACUCAAAGGAAUUGACGGGGGCCCGCACAAGCGGUGGAGCAUGUGGUUUAAUUCGAAGCAACGCGAAGAACCUUACCAGGUCUUGACAUCCUCUGACAAUCCUAGAGAUAGGACGUCCCCUUCGGGGGCAGAGUGACAGGUGGUGCAUGGUUGUCGUCAGCUCGUGUCGUGAGAUGUUGGGUUAAGUCCCGCAACGAGCGCAACCCUUGAUCUUAGUUGCCAGCAUUCAGUUGGGCACUCUAAGGUGACUGCCGGUGACAAACCGGAGGAAGGUGGGGAUGACGUCAAAUCAUCAUGCCCCUUAUGACCUGGGCUACACACGUGCUACAAUGGACAGAACAAAGGGCAGCGAAACCGCGAGGUUAAGCCAAUCCCACAAAUCUGUUCUCAGUUCGGAUCGCAGUCUGCAACUCGACUGCGUGAAGCUGGAAUCGCUAGUAAUCGCGGAUCAGCAUGCCGCGGUGGAAUACGUUUCCCGGGGCCUUGUACACACCCGCCCGUCACACCACGAAGAGUUUGUAACACCCGAAGUCGGUGAGGUAACCUUUUAUGGAGCCAGCCGCCGAAGGUGGGACAGAUGAUUGGGGGUGAAGUCGUAACAAAGGUAGCCGUAUCCGGAAGGUGCGGCUGUCAC
rnacentral:rRNA from 1 species